AGGUGAUUGUUACACUAUAAAGGAAUGGUUCAAGACUUAAGAGGCAAUGCAGAAUCUGACCAUACUCAAAGAGAACUGAUCAACGUCUACAAAAUUUCAGCAUGAAAACAACGUUCGUAGUUACCAUUGCAGUAUUGCUGGCUUUGAUUGUACCAGAGGCAGAUUGCAUCGGGGCUCAAACAAACAGCGCAAAGAGGAGCAAGAUGAUACCACAACACGACAGACGAAGUUUGUGUGCAGCUGCCCGCGAAAUGAAAUGCGAUAGGGAACUGGCACGGGAGCAUGAUAGGUUCGAGUAACAACGGCUGUGGAUGAGAGAAAAACGACUAACGACUUUAAGUUAACAUUAAAAACGAAUAACUGUAAAACACAGAGGAAAUAAAGUUAGAUGAAUUCAUGAA